GGAGAGUGGCAACGCUCGCCCAGGGCCGGAAAGUUGUCCAAACUUGGUCAUUUAGAGGAAGUAAAAGUCGUAACAAGGUUUCCGUAGGUGAACCUGCGGAAGGAUCAUUACAGAGCGUGAGGCUCAGUCGUGGCGUCAGCUGCGUGCUGGGCCGACCCUCCCACCCGUGUCGAUUUCUAUCUUGUUGCUUUGGCGGGCCGGGCUACGUCGUCGCUGCCCGUACGGACAUGCGUCGGCCGCCCACCGGUUUCGACUGGAGCGCGUCCGCCAAAGACCUAACCAAAACUCAUGUUGUCUUUGUCGUCUCAGCUUUAUUAUUGAAUUGAUAAAACUUUCAACAACGGAUCUCUUGGCUCUGGCAUCGAUGAAGAACGCAGCGAAAUGCGAUAAGUAAUGUGAAUUGCAGAAUUUAGUGAAUCAUCGAAUCUUUGAACGCACAUUGCGCCCCUUGGUAUUCCGAGGGGCAUGCCUGUUCGAGCGUCAUAACACCCCCUCCAGCUGCCUUUGUGUGGUUGCGGUGUUGGGGCCCGUCGCGUUGCGGCAGCUCUUAAAGACAGUGGCGGUCCUGGCGUGGGCUCUACGCGUAGUAACUUGCUUCUCGCGACAGAGUGACGACAGUGGCUUGCCAAAAGCCCGUUUGUUCCAGUCACAUGGAUCACAGGUUGACCUCGAAUCAGGUAGGAAUACCCGCUGAACUUAAGCAUAUCAAUAA
rnacentral:rRNA from 1 species